rfam:Ceratocystis platani strain CFO contig_01012, whole genome shotgun sequence.
UCCGCGAUGGUGUAGUUGGUAACAUCUCUGCCUGUCACGCAGAUGCCCGGGGUUCGAUUCCCCGUCGCGGAG